CAGCCUUUUCCAAAGCACGGAAAAAGCAGCCUGCUCCCUGCACAGGGGAGCAGGCUGUGGAAGGGAAGGGAUGGACUCAGCCAUGGAUCUGCUGGACUUGGGCCUGCUUGCUCUCAGCACAGGGAUUGCCAUUUAUCCCACUUGUCACCAGCAUGGCAGGAUCCUCUCUGCUCCUGCUUAUCACAUCGGGGUGUGAUACAAUACCUAAUUAUAAAAUCAAUCAUUAGCAGCUCUGUAAAGUCAGAGGAAAUACUAUCAUACAUGUCUGGUGUGGUUUUCCAUAACUUCCCACAGCUGGAAGCAAGAGGUGGAAAAAUGAUGUCCAGUCUGACUGGUGAAACUGUCUCAAACCAGCAGUUAGUGAAAGACUGCAGGAUCUAUCACAGGAUCCCUCUAUCACCUAUGCAUAUGCUGUGAUAAAAACCACUAUCAUAAUUACAUUUAUUUAAUACUACCAGUAGCUCUGCCAUUUUCUGGUCACUGUAAUAAAAAAAAAAAAAAAAAGAUUAAUAAUAAUACUAAGCCCUGGAGCAAACAAAAGUCUGACUUAGUAGAAAUAUUUCUCAAGCAACUACUCAGCUGGACUUACACAAUGGAAUUCAUCUUGGAUUAAGUAUUGUAUUUGUUUUUUUAAUGGAUAAAUAGAGAAAGGAAAUUUAAGCUAUCCAAUGUAAUCUUGUUUAAUAAAAAUCUGCAUGUCAUUACCUCUUCUUCAUAUCUGCACAGCCAACACAGCACUGCCUGAAUGUUCCCAAAAAUUAAUAACACAAACACAAUUGUGCAAAACUGUUUUCCAAAGCAUAACAAAAACUUUUGCCCUCUUUUAGCCCACAUGAAAACUGGCUUUGCUGUUCAGCGAGCCAUAUCUAAGAGUACAAUAAAAAUACCCUUGUGCAUGCACAAUGCUUAAUUUUCACAAAAUUUUAUGCUGAAAUAACCCAAUUUUAAAGGGCUGUAAAGCAACAUGUUUCUAAAGUCACAUCUCAAGUGCUCUGGCAUGUCCUUUUGAAAAGCUAGUGGAAUGAAGACAAGAUCUGAAAGCAGUACAGAAUGAUGGCACCACUUGGAACCACAACAAAAUUAUUUCUAUCUUCACUCUCAUUUAAAAAAAAAAAAGCCUAAGAGCUGAGUAUGGAUUAAAUAUAGUAAUUGAAAUCUGGCUGAGAAGCUGCGAACUUUUAUGCCAAGUUCUAGCCUGAAAUGAAUUUAAAUGGUCACAAGUAAAAAAAAUCCACAAAGGGGAGAUUGCAAAGAAAUCCUAGCAGGGAAAUAAAAAUAGCAUCAUGAACAAAUAGCGUAAUCUUAAAAAGGGAAGCAAAGAAAGCAGGAACUGGUAAAUAUUCUUGAACUUCUGUAUAAAAGAACUAGAAAAAAGUAGGACAGCAGAGCUGGGGUCACUGUAGAAAACCAAGUGAAGGUGUUUGGGGUCACUGUAGAAAACCAAGUGAAGGUGUUUGUUUUGGUAUUUGAAAUACAGGAGUGAGGUCAGACUGUGAGGGGUGACCUGAGGGCUGUCAAACUAUUGAGAGAAACUCCAAGGCCUGCCUGGCAAUUGCUCCACACUGGCCAUGACCCAAUCAACUUCCCAGUGUUUUACUGUAAAAUAGUUUGCAAGUACCUGUGCAGUUCUAAAAUGUAACUUGUAAUGCAACCCUAUAUUACUAUAGAUUGGCAGUGUAAUACAUAUUUUAUUUUUUUCUAUGCUCACUGUACAUACAGAGCUUCUUAUACCAACAAUUAACAAUGGCUUUACAAGGGAUUAGUGAGAUUUAGAGAAGGUUUGGGGGUCCAAACUGGUGAUCCCCCUUUGCAGAGAGAGGACCCCUGCCUGCGGCAGAAACAAUAUUUAAUGUACAAUUAGGCACAACGGGUCAGUGUAUUUCCAGAGCUGAGGCAGUUGGCUGUGGGACUGGUGGCCAUUAUCACACCAACAGGCUCAGGGCAAAAGGGAUUAGGAACCCAUCUGAUGAUUGGUAACUGCCCCACAGCAUUUUCUCUUUAUUGUGUAACAGGGUGAAUAAAUCAUCUUGUUUUCCUACAUAACAACUCUUAAGGUUGUCCUUGCUGUAUUUAUUGCUCUUUCUGCACAUGAACAGCAAAGGUAAUGCUGUACAUUCUGGGGCAUUUGAGGACCUCCUAGAAAUGACUGCAUAGGGAGACAUCAGGAGGUGGUGCUCUUCCUUAAUACAAAAAGGAACAAAAUACAAGCCAUGGAGAAUUUCUGGAGUCUUUGGCACAAUUCCUGAGAGAUAUGGUGCCUAAAAUUCCUCAAAUACCCCAUGGGAAUUGUGGGGCACCUGUCCAAUUGUGUCCUUUCUGGGUAGCUGACAAGCUUGGUGCAUUGCAUGUCAGCCUCCUGCAUCCCUAGGUACUUCCACCAGAGCCUUGGGAAGGUGGGAUCUGAUAGGAUCAGGUCUGUGGAAAGGGAUUUAUGGACACUGAUGAAAUGCAUUGAGGUCUUUUUCAAGUAGUAUUGACAGGAAAUACACUGGUAUUUCCAAAUAAACUUGCUGCCACAGUAGGGCUGCAGGUGGAACUUGUCAACCUAACACUUCCUGUACAGUUCCUAUAAUAAACCCCUAUUUCCCGAAAGGGAAUGCCCGCAUAAUAAUAAUAAUAGAUAUUAAUAACAUGCAUACUUUCGUGUCAAGUUUGAAUUUUGAGGAAAUGCAGUGAAGAAACUUAAGGCUGGAAGUUUCCACCCGUCUCCCCCCUGCACACAGCAUCCUUCCCGCUGCAGCAGGCGAUGCCUUUGGAACCGCUGCCUUUUCCCUGGGAGCGCCGAGCGCUGCGGCAGGUGAUGCGGCCGCUGCCCCCGGCCCCACCGGCCCCGGCAGCCAAGGGAGGAGGAAGAACCUCAACCCCCAAACCUGCGGGAACAACUUCCUGUCCUUCAUGCCUCCCGCCGCCCCCCAUAGGGAUAUAUUUAAAAAUAAAUAUAUAUGUAUAUAAAAAUAUUCCUAAAACAAGCAGUUGAUAAAUGCAGCUAGUAAAUAACCACCCAUUAAAAAAAAAAAAAAGAAAAAAAAGAAAAAAAAAGAAAAAAAAAGAAAAGAAAAACACCCCGCACAAGCCAUAAUGAUGAUGAUGAUGAUGAUGACGGGAGGGGGGGAAAUAAAUAAAUAAAAGCGAGCGAGAGUCGGCGAGGGAGAGGGAGGCAGGUUCAAUUAUCUAAACAAAGAAAUCAUGGCGGAGUGUUUACAUUUGGCAGCCCAAAGCCUCUUGGAUUACGGAACCCCCCCCAAACCCAAGCGGCCCCCCCCGGCCCCCGCAGUUGCGGCUCGCCGGAGCCCGCCCGCCGACACCUCGCCGCGGCCCGGAGCCUGCACCAGAUGCUUUGAAGAGAUCUUGCUUGGGACUGAAGGACUGGGCUGAGGCAUUUCUAAGGCAGCUGAGGAGAACAGAGGAAGGAGCAGAUGAUGGCACCAAAUCUUGCCCCAGAGCUGAGCAGGGCUCAAGGAGCAGCCCCGUGUGAAGAAGCAGGUGGAGCUCUGCAAACUAUCAGCAUGCUGGAUUUUAUGGACCGUUUCUGGAGCUGAAGGACAACUGUCUGAGAAUUUCCAGCGUGCAGGUGGUAAAACACUGACUGCCAUGAACUUCAUCAGGGAAAAAAAAAAAGAAGGAAAAGCUGUGGUUUGGAAGCAGCUGGGUCGCCAACUGCAGGGUGCCAAAACCACCACAAGGAGACUGGGGCAUAGAGGCAUUUGUGGAGCAUUCUGUUUGCUAAUUGCUCAUGGAAUUUCAGGUAAGGAACAUCCAAUGUAAUUUGUUAUAAUAGGGAAUGGCCUGGGUUUUGCUUUCCAAGGUGGCUCUUUUCCAUCAUUAUUAUUUUUAUCUUUAUUGUUGUCAUUACAAAUGCCCAGCUCUCUCUGGCUGUGAGCACGGUUCACAGAGGGGCUGUGGGGCAGCACAGGGCGUUUUUAUCCAUGCACAUGCCAGGCAGUACCAGCACACACCUCCAGGCCCUGCUGUACCCCUGCUGUAUCCCAGGGCAGGAUGUGUUCUGGCCAUGAGAGGACAGAUCCCUCUCAAUGCCUCACCUCUCCAAACACAGGAAUCUGCUGAGGGUUCCUAAGUGCUGCUAGUGGGCUCAGUUUGCAAGUUUUGAGCUGGUUCUGUGCCCUGAAUCGCUGAGGAUUCCCAGGAACCGUUCAGGUCACUCCUUUCCCCUCCAGCUAUUGAGAGGUUCCUACUGUGCAAAAAUGUGCUGGAAAUUAUCACCAGCAGUGCAUCUCCAGUUUGCAUCUGGUUGCCAUCCUGCAACUUUAACUAGUCCUAAGACUUACUGCUAAUUAGCUGCCAGCUAAUGGUGAUCCCUGCCAGUGCUGCGGCAUUCCAGAGUCUGUGGGCAUUAAGGAGAAUUAGCGUUUGCUGACGGCCAUGGUGGGAUCUGCCUGUCUGCAGCAUUUCAGGGCUGCUGUUUGCUGGAAUGUUUGAUUGCCUCCCCCAGUAAUUAGCACUGACACUGUGCAAGUUUUUCAGGGGUCUCACUUGGCUGUGCAGAGACCAAAGAGACACUGGGCUCUGUCUGUGGUGAGGAGAGGUCAAUAAUAAUGCAUUUCCCAGUAAUAAUGUAUUUCCCUCCUUCUCUCCACUCCCCUGACACGGGUAACGUAGUGCCAAGGGAUGGAGUCAGUGGCUGCUCUGCUGCACUUUUCCCUGCUUUGUUUUCCUGUAUGAAAUGCUCUUUCACUGCUUUUUUUAAUGUGUAGAGAACAAUUUAAACAUUUUAACCCAAAGUCAAUGCCUCCUUGGUUUGGGGAUAUGAUGGUAGUUCAAAUGCUGCAGGAAUUUGGCACACCAGCAGUGAGUAACUCUGGUGGGGCCCUUCCAUGCCUGUUUAAAAGAGGGUGCAUAACCACAGUUAAAGCACAGGGAAUACAGAGAAAUACAGGCCCCUUGUAACUCCUGAGGGGUAGAUGAGCACAUGGCUGGUGCUUCUUCAGGAACACCAGUUGCCUGUUUGGAAAAAGAGGCGCUGGGGAAUGUCUCUGUCUCCCUGGUCAGCUUCCCAAAUCCACUCUGCAGGAGAGGCACGCGCUGCACAUCCCGCCGUGGCUCUGGCCUGGCCUGGCACUGUAGAAGCUUUUUCCAUGUGCUACUGUGGAGAGGAAGCUGCUCUCGCCCUCACCCAGAGGAAGAUGAGCCAUAGGAAUAUACAAGGGGAUUUUUUAUAGCUCGGGGGCCACGAGGGGAAGCAGUGGUCAUGAGCAGAGGCUGGAACUUGGCUGGUUAAGUAAAUCUCAGGCUGUGGCUGGUUUUAAUUUAUUUUUUGUUUUAUGUGCAGGAGACUAGGCCUUGCAGGCCUGGCUAAUAUCAAAGCCUGGGGUUUUGUAGAUUUUUAAUCAAGGUCCACUUUGGGGUGUUCUGCUUUCAGGGCUUGUGGAUGUGUAGGAUUUUUUUGUCAUGUUUUUCAUUUAUUCUUCAUGCAGUGUCUGGAUUUCUUUAGUUCAACUUUUCCGUUCUUCAGACUUGAGCCAAGUGAGCGAUUUCAAAUUACCCAGCACUUUCCAGAGAUUUUUGUUAUUGUUGUUGUUGUUUGGGGUUUUUUUGGUUUGGGUUAUUUCAUUUUUUCUUUUUUCUGAAGCAGAUUUGCAGUCCAGUUUCUCUGAAAAUCACAGAUGGGACUGCAAUCUCACCCCAUUGCCUCUCAAUAAUCUGGCAUUCUUUGCACUGUCUGAAUAGUUUAUUGUUCAUCAAAUCUGUAUGAAAUGAAUUUUAUAUAAAUUUUUUGUUUGUUUUGUCCCUCUGCUGGCAGGAAAAGUAAAUCCCGAAGUAUUUCAGCAGGUGCUAUUAAUAUGCAAAUAAUGGAGAGUACACUGGGUCUAAUAGACCUCCCAACUACAUGGGAGGUGUCGCUGUUGGAGCAAAUUAGCUUUCUGUAAUUUGCAUGCUUUUCACAGCCUCCUGGGAUUAUAUUUUAGAUCAGAGACAAUAAAAGCAUAUGCUGUUAGUUUUAAAUGUAACUAAUUUUAGACUUUGAAACCGUUUUAACCUAACUUCUUAGUGUUAAACUGUUAUUUGCACAGAAACUUUCCACAGAGCUUGUCAUUUGCACGGCCUUUCUGUUCCCCCAUUACCUGCUCCAUCUCUCUUUCCAGGCUGAAACAGAAGAAGGGAAUCGGCCAGGUGGCUGCAUCUUGAAAAACAGGUAUUUCUCACAAAAUCCAGAUUGUCCUAGCCUGAUUCUGAGUCUGCAUUCAGGUCCUGAUGGGGUCUAGGUUGAGCUUUAUGUCAAAGUUCUUCCCUCCCAUUUGGCAUCUCCAUGUGGUGUAAAUCCAUCCCUAAACAAUGCUGUGGCCCCUGCUGGCUGCUCACAGAGGGGAAGAGGCUGCUCAUAGCAUCAGAAAAUCUCUUUGCUCACCCAGCAAAGCAAACAGUCCUGAGCUGAUGUGGCACCAAUGCCCAGUGUGGCUGCCUGGCCUGUGCCUGGUGAGUCUGCUGGGAAACUCUGGAACAAGCGGGAAGACAAGCAGGGAUUUCAGAGCAGGCUCAGGCUGUAGAGUCACACAUUACUGACUUGUACUGACAUUAUCUGGUACUUUCCAAUUGGUAUUGACAGCAGAAAUGCCACAGUGGACGGCUGUGCUUUGGGACAAUGGGAAUGAUGGAGCCUAUGGAGCUGUGUCUGUGUUCCAGGUGCUGCCGCGGCUGCUUUGUGCUGGACUGCCCAGGUGGGUGACACAGGACAGCCACUGCAGCCCUGCCCCUUGUCCCCACCCUGCCCUUGCAGAGCUGGUAGGACCCGAUUCCUGCUGCAUGGAGGACUGCAUGUGAGGGCUGUGAGAGGAGCUGCAGACUGCAAGGUGUCGGUCUGGGGAAGGUGCAGAGGCAGCCCUUGUGUUCUGUCCCAGGGCCCGAGGGUGAGAUUCGGGAGUUCCCUGGGGCACAGCUGCUCCAUUGCUCACAGAUCUCUGUGCAGCGUGUCCUGAUCACUCGGGCUUGUGGGGUGGUGGCCAUCCUUUAUUUCAGGGGGGACAGAGAUCAGGAGUAGGAUCAGACGUGUGGAGGAGAUGGCAGCCAGGUCGAGCUCAAGUUAACAUUAUCAAAUUUAUUUCUGCUGUGGGAAAGGUGAGUGUGGCAUGAGAGAGUAAGUCUGAGAGGGAUCCUUUGAGACAAGAAAUUCCUGGGAUGCAGCUUUGGCCCUGCAGCAAUGUGGUGAGACUCUUCUGAAUGUUUGGGGCCACAACUGUGCCAUCAGUGUUUUAUAGGUGUGUUUCACAGACGAUGUAGAGAAGUAGUUUGCUUCCCAAGGAGUGCUCUUAAAGCUGGAAAAUACUGGGUGCUAAUCUUUUUCUCUCAUCUCACUCUAAUUUUUUUUCUAGCAUUAAUACCAGUGACUUCCCACUUCUGCUGCUUUUUAUUAAUGAGAUGUGGCUUGCCUGUUAUAAGCCUGGGCCCUGGAGUUGGAAGCACUUGCUUUUUGUUUAAAAAUGAAAACAAAAAGAGAGAAAAAAGGGCGCUGAUUACUCAGGUGUCGACAGAAAACAACUGCGAUGUUGUGCCAGAUGGCUGCAUUUGUGAAGCAGAGUGUAGUCAGAAGGGAAGUAGAAGGAGACAAGGCAAGUGUACAUCAAGAGUGUGAAAACAUGACCAAAAUACCUUCAGCCUUGUUUCACCAACACUGGAUUAGGAGGCAACUGUGGUGAGAUGCAAGCAAAGAAAAGCAGAAGGGGACACUGUUUGGAAAACAAAAAUGUCUUUCACAAAAGCUUUGAAUUAAGAAAAAUGAGAAGGUUUUGCAUUAAAUGGGCCAGUGCCUCAGAGCACUGUGCCAAGUGCCACUGCAAAGUGCCACAUGUGACACAGUCAAACCGUGAUGGCAGCAGGUUGUGUCCAGGCUCGGUGUGCACUGGAGCAGGCUGUCCCCGGUGACUCUAGCACUGGCCAGCGCCUGCCAUGGCUGCACCCAGCCGGGAAGGGUUUCCCAGGGAUGUGGGAGCUGGGCUGGCUCCUCCCUCUGCCCGCCCCCACACCGGCGGCACCAGGAGCCCUCGUGGCGGAGGUCUGGGUUAUGUCCACCCCAAAAGGGAGCACUUGUGACACCAGCACUGGCUGGUUUGUGCCUCAGGCCCUUUGGACGCGUUCCUCACCUCCUGCAGGAUCUUCACUCAACUUCUGCUGCCAGGGCAAAGUCCGUGCCAAGCUUGUAAAAGCCGAGCCCUUGGCAGGCCCAUGGGCGGGGGCUUUGUUACCCUUUUAUAUCCUGAAAUGGAGCCUGGGCACUUUCAACUUCGCUUGCAUGCUGAAGCUUUUGGCUGUCACACAGGGAAAAGUUUAGAAUAGUUUGAUCUCAGAUCACAAGUCCAAAUUUUAUUUUGUUUUCCGUGCUUAAGCUGGCUCUGCCCAGACUGCUUUGGAGCUCCACGCUCUCUCCUCCUCGGUGGUGUCUCGGAAAAAGGAGGCUCUGACAUGGCCACAGAGGGGCCAGUCUGUGAAGGUUUGGCCUCGUCUCUUGGCCUGGGUUGUAUCUUCGUGUACAAACUUGGUGGUGCUUCUGUUUUGUCACAAGUGUCUGAAAUUCUGGUGGUUUUAGGCUGCACUUUGAUUAGAACACAGCCACAAAAAUCUGUGGUAAUUUUCACCCAAACCAUUUCCACACAGCUUUCUCAACCCCCAACCCCAAAACUACUUCCCUUUUUCAUGUGUAUUUUAAAGCAAUGAACUUCAUUCAAAGAUACUGAAGAUAGGUUACGUUUCCAACAACAGGUACAGAGAAAGUGGCAGGAACAUGGAUCUCCCUCUGAUCCCUGCUCUGGUACAACUAAAGCUUGAAUAGCUUAUUUGAAACCUUGAUGAGAUCAUGAGCCCUG